GAGUUGACAAAAUGUGUUUUGUGUUGUUUUCUGUGAAAUGGAAAUGUCAAAUUUUAAAAAAAAGUUUGUAGGAUUUCUUUAGAUUUCGGAUAUUUAUUUUCGUUUUAAUUGUUAGAUUAAUUGAAAACGAACAGUUAAAUUCGAUUCAAUGCAGCCCCGACAUUGAAGUAACGCGUCAAUUGACAUGGCAUUCCAUUAUUCCGAGCUCUCUAUGCCAACGGAACACGUCCUAUUGCCUGAAUUCCCUCAACCGUUUAUGGUAAAAAAAGAAGCAGAUUAUGAGCUGAGAGCUGGUGUGUUAGUGGAUGGCGGGAACCGAUUUGGUGUUUCAUCUGUGAUAUUUGAUAAGUAUGAAGAGUUGAUAUGGAUGGGGAACCAAGGAGGCCAUGUCACAUCCUACUACGGGCCCCAAUUGCAAAGAUAUACAUCAUUCCAAAUACAUGUGUGUGAGGAAGUGAGAGACAUUUUAACAUUAGAAGAAGGCAUAUAUUGUCUUACUAAAACGUCAUUGAGACACCAAAUACGCAGGGGACUGCCAAGGCAUACGCACAAGUCACCUAACAUGCAGGAUAUGCAAUGUUUGUUCCAAGUUGACACACACAAGGUACUGAUGGGUGGCCAUCAAGACAAACUCCUGGAGCUUGAUCUCAAUAAAUGGGUGGAAGGUGUUAUUAAUGUUCCAGAAGAGGGUUGUGCGGUACUACGUAGCGGUGGCGGGUCGGUGGUCGCGUGCGGCAGCGCUAACGGCAUGAUAACGCUGAGGGAUAUCAGAUGCUUGAGCAGUGUGGAGCAGUCCUUCAGGGCACACACCGCUUGCCUGUCUGACUUGGACAUGCAGGGAGAUAUGCUGAUCACUUGCGGAUUUACUCAGUCUUCGUCAUCUCCUGUCGCCGAGCCGUACGUAGUGGUGUGGGACGUGCGCUGUCUGCGCGGCUCCUCGCUGCGGCAGAUACCCACCAUGUCACCGCCGCAGCUGCUGCACUUUGUGCCCGCCGUGUCGGGACGCGCGGUCGCUAUGGCCAGCGAUGGGCAUGUCACUGUGUUGGACGUCAACGAUUCGCUUAAACCAGAGUCACAAUCUGUGUUUCAGGUAGAAACUCACAGUUCCCAAUGCAGUGUAAUGGACGUCUCAUCAACGAGUCAGGCUCUCGCGUUCGGUGACCUCGGCGGGCACAUCCACAUGUUCUCAGCUAAACACAACCACGAGCCUAUGUAUAAUAGCUUCUCUAGACCUACAGAGUUCGGUGAUCCGCUGCCAUCACUGCCCAGAGUGAGUUUCAAGGACGAAACCUUUAAUUUCUCGUCCAUCCCUCGGCCGCCGCUCACGACUGGCACCAAAUGGCUCAGUGACAUGCCUCCAGAGUUCUAUCACAAGACUUACAGGAAACUGAAACCCGUUGACCCUGAAAUCCUGAGAACAAUGAAAAUGCAGGGCCCUAUUGGAUACGCACCCAACCCUAAAACUGUUAGAAGAAAUCAGAUGCCGUAUAUUGAAGAAACCCUGCAGGAUGUGAUCGUAAAGCCUAAGGAAACCAGAACGGUUGUUGCAGAACCAAUACCCAAACAUUAUCUUAAGAUGGAUUUACGUUUCAAGAAGCCAAGAUCGAACGACAGUAACGACUCGCUAAACAAGGUUGGAUUCCCUGGACUAGAAUUCACUUUGCCAAAUUCCUACUGCAAUUCUAUGUUACAGGUACUUUAUCACAUUCCGGCUGUGAAAGCAACGUUGUUGGCACACACGUGUGCGAAGGAGUUUUGUCUGAGCUGCGAACUUGGAUUCCUGUUCCGAAUGCUGGACACUUCAGGCGGGGCUCCGUGCCAGGCCGACAACUUCCUACGUGCCUUCCGCACCGUGCCUGAAGCGGCUGCUCUGGGUCUCAUCCUGCCGGACGGGGUCAUUGACCACAGGGCGGAUCUAAUCAGUCUUAUACAGAGCUGGAAUCGCUUCAUGCUGCAGCAAAUACAUUCCGAAAUACUAGAGGCUCGAAAAAAGGAGAAAGAGUUGACUUUACUGGCUCACACCAAAAGCCCACCGAAGCAAAUAAACAAGCAAGUCAAUGGAUACCAAUAUCACUACACUGAGUUGAAGUACAUGGGACCGCCAGUAUGUGAAGACGAUGCGCAGGACCUCUUCGAAGGACCAAUGGUCAAUAAUCAUGAUGGUUCCAUAGUAACAAAUCACGUGCAACCAGAGAGAAAUGGACUGAAAAACCAUAUAUCCAAGUCAGAUGAUGAGGAAUCUGAGAUAUCCAAGUUGUUCGCCAUAGGACGCCAUCAGGUGAACCGUUGCACUAAAUGCAAUAAGGAGGAAGAACGCGAAUCAGUAGUAAUGGCGUGCGCGCUACAGUACGUAGUGAGCACGGAGGGUGGGAAGGGGGGUUUCUUAGAGUUAGUCCGCGCUUCGCUCGCGGCACGACGUUCUACCCCCGCAUGGUGCGAGCACUGCGCUCGGUUUACCCCCACCGUUCAAAGGGGGAGGAUACUCAGAUUGCCACCUAUUCUGGCAAUAAAUUGCGGUGGUGCCACUCCCCACGAGAAGGCCUAUUGGACUAAAGGUGUCCAAAAAGACACGCCUGAAACGACGAAAAGAGGCACCAGCAGUAAACCAUGCCGGUACGGAUUGCAUUGUGCCAGACCGGGGUGUAGAUUCAAGCAUCCAGAACGACCGUCUUCGGCGCCUCAGAUGAAUUCGCUAAACAUUUCGUCACAAGAAAGUAAUUGCGUUUUAUCUCAUCAAAUGAACAUCCGUUUGCUGUCUGACGGAGAGGUUAUUAUCGAUGAUAAGCUAAAUUCUAGACUGAUAGUUCACCAAUGGAGCCUAGAUUCGACUUCAGUUUACCGAGGAAGAAACCACCCAACAUUCAACACGAGGAGGAAUACUCCCUGUCCUCCGUGGUGUUGUGUGUGGAGGACAACCCGAGGAACCUGGUGGCGUACGUGAGGAUACCUGACGAGGAAGACGACUGCCGGUGGUACCUGUUCAACGAUUUAAGCAUCGUGCCGGUGAGCGCCGACGAGGUGGUGCAGUUCAGCAGCUGGUGGAAGAGUCCGUGCGUGCUGUUCUACAUGAACGCGCAGCUG
rnacentral:misc_RNA from 1 species